rnacentral:rRNA from 1 species
UACGUAGGGGGCAAGCGUUGUCCGGAUUUAUUGGGCGUAAAGAGCGUGUAGGCGGCCAUACAGGUCAGCUGUGAAAACUCGAGGCUCAACCUCGAGACGUCGGUUGAAACCGUAUGGCUAGAGUCCGGAAGAGGAGAGUGGAAUUCCCGGUGUAGCGGUGAAAUGCGCAGAUAUCGGGAAGAACACCCGUGGCGAAGGCGGCUCUCUGGGACGGUACUGACGCUGAGGAGCGAAAGCUAGGGGAGCGAACGGG